AAUGAACGCUGGCGGCAGGCCUAACACAUGCAAGUCGAACGACAUCUUCGGAAUAACUGGCGCAUGGGUGAGUAACGCGUGGGAACGUGGCGUUAGGUACGGAAUUACUCAUGGACAGGGGUGCUAAUAUCGGAUAACGUCUUCGGAGAAAAGAUUUAUCGUCUUUGGAUAGGCCGGCGUUCGUUUAGCUAGUUGGUAUGGUAAAAGCCGACCAAGGCUAAGAUCAUUAGCUGGUCUGAGAGGAUGGUCAGCCACACUGGGACUGAGAUACGGCCCAGACUCCUACGGGAGGCAGCAGUGGGGAAUCUUGCACAAUGGGCGAAAGCCUGACGCAGCUAUGCCGCGUGAGUGAUGAAGUUCGUAGAGUAGUAAAGCUCUUUAACCCGGGACGAUAAUGACGGUACCCGAAGAAUAAGCACCGGCUAACUCCGUG
rnacentral:rRNA from 1 species